rnacentral:lncRNA from 1 species
UAUAUAUAUAUAUAGAGAGAGAGAGAGAGAGAGAGUUGAGAGAGAGAGAGAGAGAGAGAGAGUUGAGUUGAAAUACUAUCGGUAGCAAAUGAGCUUCAUUGCCACCCAUUUAUUUUUUAUGAUGGAGCCUCCAAAUCGACGAUCGGCAUCGUUGAAUAUGAUCCAUACCACUUGAAGUAUCUAGAAACCAAAUUUCAACUCUAUAUAUAUAGAGUUAAGCUGGAAUGCUAUCAGUAGCAAACGGGCUCCGUUGCCAUCCAUUUGUUUUCGAUGAUGGAACCUCCAAAUCGACGAUCGGUACCGUUGAACAUGAUCUAUAGCACUUAAGGUAUCUAGAAAUUAAAUUUUAUGCUUUUUCGAUAUUGUUCUCUUGUCCAUCAAGUGGGUGCAAAAAUGAACGGCUGAAAAUGAAUAUCCUCUAAAAAGUGAAGAUAGAAAUUUUGUAAUCAANUUUUUUUUUUUUCUCCCUCUCUCUUCAAUUUCUUUUCUCCCUUCUUUUUCUUUAAGCCCAAUUUAAUUUUUUAUUUUUUACUAUAAAUAUUUAAAAUAUAUAAUAAUUUUUACAUAGUUUAGACUAUUUAUAUUAAAUAUAAAUUUUAAUUUUAUACUCUUGAGCAUUUAAAUAUAAAUUGUACAUUAAAAAAUAAAAAAAAAAUUGAUGGCAUUUAAGUUAAUUUUAUAUUUUAUAAAAUUUAGUUACAAGAAUAGUAUAAAAUAAGCUACUUAAAUCUAUAGAACGAAGCGAUACAUUCAGAUUUUAAAGUCAAAAUACUAUUGAUUGACUCAUAUCUAAUAUAUCGAAUAAUUGAAUAAUCAAAAUAAAAUUUUGAAAGAUUGGAUUUAUACUUUUCGUCCUUCAAACUAUAAGACGAGUGACACUUUAAUUCUCGAACUUUAAUAUGUUAUGAUUUAAACUAUGAGGCAUGUGAUACUUUCAUCUUUAAAUUUUAAUUAGUUAUAAUUUCUAACUUACAAUAUGAGGCAUAUCAUUUUAGUACUCAACGUUUAUUGCUGCUAUGAAUAUCAUUUAUUAUUCGUAUGGUUUUCACCCUUAUUUUUGUAAUCCACUUAUAAUCUAUUCUUAUAUUUUUAUUGCAGUAAUAAUUGCUUAUUAUUCGGUUGCUUUUUUUUAAUAUAAUUUUUUGACUCUUUUUUUUUUGCUAUU